rnacentral:rRNA from 1 species
UACCGGGGGGGCAAGCGUUGUUCGGAAUUACUGGGCGUAAAGGGCUCGUAGGCGGCCAACUAAGUCCGACGUGAAAUCCCAAAGCUUAACUUUGGAACUGCGUCGGAUACUGGAUGGCUUGAAUUCGGGAGAGGGAUGCAGAAUUCCAGGUGUAGCGGUGAAAUGCGUAGAUAUCUGGAGGAAUACCGGUGGCGAAGGCGGCAUCCUGGACCGACAUUGACGCUGAGGAGCGAAAGCUAGGGGAGCAAACGGG